rnacentral:rRNA from 1 species
CUGACGGAGCAACGCCGCGUGCGGGAGGAAGGCCUGUGGGUUGUAAACCGCUUUUCUCAGGGAAGAAGUACUGACGGUACCUGAGGAAUCAGCAUCGGCUAACUCCGUGCCAGCAGCCGCGGUAAUACGGAGGAUGCAAGCGUUAUCCGGAAUUAUUGGGCGUAAAGCGUCCGCAGGCGGCUGUUCAAGUCUGCUGUCAAAGACUGGGGCUUAACCUCGGAUAGGCAGUGGAAACUGAAUAGCUAGAGUGCGGUAGGGGUAGAGGGAAUUCCCAGUGUAGCGGUGAAAUGCGUAGAUAUUGGGAAGAACACCAGUGGCGAAGGCGCUCUACUGGACCGCAACUGACGCUGAGGGACGAAAGCUAGGGGAGCGAAAGGGAUUAGAUACCCCUGUAGUCCUAGCUGUAAACGAUGGACACUAGGUGUUGGCCGUAUCGACCCGGUCAGUACCGAAGCUAACGCGUUAAGUGUCCCGCCUGGGGAGUACGCACGCAAGUGUGAAACUCAAAGGAAUUGACGGGGGCCCGCACAAGCGGUGGAGGAUGUGGUUUAAUUCGAUGCAACGCGAAGAACCUUACCAGGGCUUGACAUCCCGCGAACCUUGCUGAAAGGCGAGGGUGCCUUCGGGAGCGCGGAGACAGGUGGUGCAUGGCUGUCGUCAGCUCGUGUCGUGAGAUGUUGGGUUAAGUCCCGCAACGAGCGCAACCCUUGUCCUUAGUUGCCAUCAUUCAGUUGGGCACUCUGAGGAGACUGCCGGGGACAACUCGGAGGAAGGUAGGGAUGACGUCAAGUCAUCAUGCCCCUUACGUCCUGGGCUACACACGUCCUACAAUGCUGCGGACAAAGGGCAGCCAGCCGGUGACGGCGAGCUAAUCCCAUAAACCGCGGCUCAGUUCAGAUUGCAGGCUGCAACUCGCCUG